CUGCUCAUAGGUCACCCUCGCAGCCCAUCACCUGGUCCUUACCAACCAUCUUGGCCUGAAAUAUUUCUGCUCCACAGCAACACGACAACUCCACAAACACGUUCAUUUCCUAUUCGUCCACUGACUGUCUCCCCCAGCAGAGUGGCAGUCCCACAGAGGUAGGGCUCUGGGCCGUUUUGUCCACUGUGCACCUAGCACCUGGGAUGAAGCCUUCCACGUAACAGGGACUCCACAGCGGCUGGGGAACGAAUAAACGGCCUUAAAACCCUCCGAUGGUGCAGCACCAGCCAGAACCCUCUCCUGGAGGGAAUCGGGAAGACUCCCGGGAAUUUGCCAAGAGAAGAACACGCUCGCUGUGGGGUUCGCUGGUUUCCAGGGCUGCCCGCCUCCUCCCCCCACCGCUCGCCGCCCAUAAAGGUUCUUCACGUGCCAGCUCUGAGCGGUACGUGUCCCAACUCCGGGAAACACGCCAGCCCCCGGCCAUCGGGGCACUGAGGGAACAGCAACAAACAAAACAGGCCUAAACCCCUGCCCUGGCCAAGCCGACGCCCUAAUGAGGAGUCAGAAAAAAAUCAAUCCGUACACCAGGAGUCAUAGAACAGAAUGUGAGCUAGGGAGAGGGACUGUGAAGAAAAAUUAAAACAGGGUGAAGGGACAGAGAAUGGCAGAGGUGUUUCUUCUGCUGUAGCUGGGGUGGUCAGACAAGGCCUCUCCACGGAGGGGACAAGUGAGCAACAGAGCCCUGACGAGAUGAGAGAGCGAGCCUCAGGCUAUCUAAGGCCACAAAGUGGAUGAGGCCACUCGGGAGCAAGUCUAGAGAGAGAAAAGGCCCAAAGACUGAGCCCUGGGCCCACUUGUGAUUGGAGGUCCGAAAGGUGCAUGAACGAGGCACCAUCAGCCAAAUUAAUCCACCAGCAGGGACCCCCAAAAAACAGCCGUCAGAUGCCAGGCCUUCGGGAUGGAGCCAGGGCAGGCUUAGGCCAACGGCCACCAUUUCCAAGGGUCGAAAACCCUGGGCAGAGAGCAGCGGACGGUGGCAAGGCCAUCCACCCAGCUGGGGAUCCACCCAGAAGCCAACUCUGAAGCUGAGAAUUAAGAUUUCUGGGGCGCCUGGGUGGAUCAGUCGGUUAAGCAUCUGACUCUUGAUUUUGGCUCAGGUCAUGAUCUCGGGGUCAUGGGAUCGAGGCCCUUAUUGGGCUCUACACUAGGCAUGGGGCCUGCUUGCGAUUCUCUCUCCCUCUCCCUCUGCCCCUCCCCUGCACUCUCUCUCUCUCCCUCCCUCUCUCUCUCUCUCUCUCUCUCUCACACACACACACACACACACACAAUAAAUAAAAAAUUAAAAAAUAAUAAUAAUUAGAAAAAGAAUUCUUGGGUCACCACCCAAGCAGCAAAUCUUCCCUGGCCCGCCCUACCAACGCUAAAUCAAAGGUGGCUAAACAGUGAAGAAGACAGCAGGUGUGUGGUUUGAGCUCAGUGCACGCAGCAUCACCCGUAUCUUCUUCUGCAAACAGCCAGGACAGUGAUGAGGAGCUCCCGCGGUCCCCCACCCACCGGCUUGUGGCCUGUGGGGUCGUGUGAUUGGCUGGAGGUGGGAGCACAUGACAUAAAUCUGCACCAAUUAGAGCUCGUCUGCUCAGAGUGACUGGGUCAGGCGUGGAGCACCUGAUCCUGAUAUCAGCCAAUGAAAACAUAGCGCAGCCCAGCUCACGGUCACUGGACCACGUCUCAACCAAUCAGAGCCCAACACUGCCCAGCUCGUAGCCACUGGGGUAAAGUGCAAGCUCAAGCACCCGGGAGAAGAAUAAAGGGCACAAGCGAAGAUUUCAUGUAAUUGGCUCACAUUAAACCACAUGACUCAGGCCCAAACCACUCAGAACAUCACAUUCUUCCGGCCACAGGUGGCCAAAGCCUGAGGGACUCUGGGAACUCAUGUCAGAGCUACUAAAAGAAAGGUUCCCUCUUUCCCACUACCCUUGAACUUUGGGAGGUGUGAGGCCAGGGUAACACGACCACCUGGUACCACACGGAAAACAGAGCUGAACAGUGGAAAGCAGAAGGUCGUGGAGGGAUCCGGCCCGGCCCAGAGCCAGCACCACCCCUAUACGUCUCAGCUACUUGAACUCACAAGUGUUUUGAUUAAGCCAGUCAGAGCUGGGUUUCCUGUCACUUCUAUUGCAGAGAGAGGAGAUGGGUGAACAUCUCACCUUGAGGAGAAGGGGGUACUUGCAAAUCCUCUGAAUUGGAGACAGCAGGUAGCCCUCCAGAGGGAUGUCUGUGGUCUUCCGGCCUCCCAGAAGCAUGCAACUCUGCAAAAGGACAUAAGACCUUCAUUAAAACUCACCAGGGAUGGCAAAGGGAUUUGGCCACCUUCAAAGAACCAUGGGGAGCCCUCUUAAAACACCGCGACAGACUUUGGAAGCAAUUUAGCAACACCCAGGGGAGAUGAAAAUGAAAAUAUGCAUCUCUUCAAGCCAGCACAAAACCCAGAUCAGGGGCUGGCAAUCGACGGCCCGUGGGCCAAAUCCUGCCCACUGCCUGUCUUGGUAACCAAGGAUUUCCUGCAACAGAGCCACAUCUAUUUGCUUUCGUGCCAUAUCUGGUUGCUUCCAAGCCACCACGGCAGAGCUGAGGAGUUGCAACAGAGACCAUGCAGUCACAAAACCUGAAAUGUUUACUGUCUGGCCUUUUACGGAAAACUUUGCUAACUCCUGAUCUAUAGGAACUAUCGGAGCUUCGAGACACGCACCAGACGCAGGAGCAUGGACGUUCACAACUGCCUCGUAUGGAAUAGCAAACAACGCAAAGCGAGGUAAAGAGCCAUCAACUGCUUGCGUUUUGUGAGUUCGAGCCCCACACUGGGCUCUGUGCUGACAGGGUACAGCUUGCUCAGAUCCUCUGUCCCCCUCUCCUUGCCCCUCCCCAGCUUGCUCUCGCGUGCUCUCUCUCAAAAAUAAACAGUAAAAAUAAUUUAAAAUAAUUUCCAAAAAAAAGAAUAAAAAUAACCAUCAACUGAAGACUGGGAAACUAUGCCUAUGGUAGACUGACACAAUUGCCACACUAAAUGGCGGUAAAAACGGGGGACCUGACAGUCGCAGAGGGACACAGAUGGACCCCAAACACCAAAGGAUGUGCAUGGUAUGAACCCAUCUACAGAAAGCUUUUAAAAACAC